rnacentral:tRNA from 1 species
GUGGGUAUAGCUCAGUGGUAGAGAGUGUGCUUAGCAUGCACGAGGUCCUGGGUUUAAUCCCCAGUACUUCCA